rnacentral:rRNA from 1 species
UACGUAGGGUGCUAGCGUUGUUCGGAAUCAUUGGGCGUAAAGCGCGUGUAGGCUGUCAGUUAAGUCUUGUGUGAAAUCCCUCGGCUCAACCGAGGAAGUGCAUGGGAAACUAACUGGCUUGGAGACGGUAGAGGAAGGUGGAAUUCCAAGUGUAGAGGUGAAAUUCGUAGAUAUUUGGAGGAAUACCGGUGGCGAAGGCGGCCUUCUGGACCGAUCUUGACGCUGAGACGCGAAAGCGUGGGUAGCAAACAGG